UAUUAUAUAUAUUUUUGUUUUUAUAUGCGUGUUGCUAAAGUAAAGCAAUAGUGCAUCCAAAAAAUAAAAAUGUAGUAUUUACUCGCCCUCAUGUCAUUUUGACCCUGUAUGUUGACUUGCAGUGGAACACAAAAGUACAUUUUUGAGGAAUUUAAAAUUUAUGCAGCUUUUUUUCCCAUACUUCAUCCAAAAUACCCAUAAAAUAACAAAAUGUGUCCAUCUCACUAUGUUUUAAGUCUUCUGAAGCUAUAUACUAGCUUUUUCUGAGGGAAAAGAAAAAGAAUAACUUAUUCACUGAAAAUCUUUUGAAAAUGGCUAAUUUUCUACCUAUUCUUCACACAAAACUAUUAUAUGACUUCAAAACACUUGGGGCCCUAUCAUACACCCAGCGCAAUGCAGCGCCAAGCGUGACGCAAGUGUUUUGCUAGUUUCAGCCCGACACAGUUAUCAUUUUCACAUCCUGCGCCACGUUGUUUAAAAAGCAAAUGCAUUUGCGCCUAUUUGUGCACCCAUGGGCGUGCUGGUCUGAAAACGAUGUGUGUUCAGGCACACUGUUGCACACUGUUAACUACUGCGCCAUUGAACAACAAAAACCUGGUCUAAAGUCAAUGGCGCAAUUUAUUUAUUUUUGUUAUUUAAAGAGCGCGUUAGUAAUGUGCGCCUAUAGGUGGGUCCACAACACGCGUACACUCUGCUUAUUACACACACAGGGAUGUAAUGUGCAGCACACAAAAUAGCCAAAUAUUAAAAAUAAAAGGAUUACAAUGUAAAGGAUUAUUAUUGUGUACAUAAAGAUAUGGUGGAAUCCGGCUUGUCCUGUAGAUGGUCUGCUUUAACCUCGCUCACGGGCAGAUCGGUUUGUGCUCGGGAGAAGCGUUCAGUCUUUCCACUUGCAAAUUCCGCCAUGUAAAUAGCGAAUCCGCCAUGGCGCCAGCGCAAAUGCUUUUUAAAGGGAAUGAGAGAUGAGACUCUGAUUGGUUUAUUUCACGUUAUGCCCAAAACACACCCAUUACUCAUUAAAGGAUUAGUUCACUUUAAAAAAAACUUUUGCUGAUAAUUUACUCACCCCCAUGUCAUCCAAGAUGUCCAUGUCUUUCUUUCUUCAGUCGAAAAGAAAUUAAGGUUUUUGAUGAAAACAUUCCGGGAUUUUCUCCAUAUAAUGCACUUUGCUGGGCACCAAACGGUUCAAGGUUCAAAAGACAGUUUCAGUGCAAACUGCAAACUGUUCAAAUGGCUUUAAACGACACCAGACAAUGAAUAAGGGUCUUAUCAAGCGAAACGAUCGCUCAUUUAAAAAAGAAAUAACAAAGUUUAAGUUUUAUAAGCUCAAAUGCUCGCCUUGCACUGUUCUGUGUGACUCUCCUGUUCGAACUCGUUCAUCAAAAUGAACGAAUCUUUUUCCGAGUCAAUUUGUUCAUUUCGUUCGUUAAAUGAACCAAAUGACUCGAAAAAAGAUUUGUUCAUUUUGAUGAA